UAGAAUCCAAGUUUGUUGAUCAAUAAUCCAUUUUUUGCCUUCAAGUGUAGGUGCUGACUCGGGAUCCAUCAUCAUUAUGUCUUUCUCAAAUCUUUUCUUUUCUUGUUCUUGCAUUGCUGCAAUUCUCAUCUGCUCGGUUUCUUUUUGAGCUUGUAGCCUCAUUUGUUUUGCUUCCAUUUUGGCUUGUAACUUUUGUUGUUCUCUUGCAGUUCUUCUAAUGGCUUCUUCUUCGAACUGACUUGAAGCUUCUUUUCUCAUACUAGAAAACUCCUCUACAAAUAAGUCCAUGGAAGGAAAUUUUUUCUUCUUUCUAGGACAUUUUACAGUUUUGCGACCAUUAGGACGUGCUGGUCCAGUUGAACCGUGAUUAGAUAGUCUAUCU
rnacentral:lncRNA from 1 species